rnacentral:tRNA from 2 species
GAGGGUAUAGCUCAGUGGUAGAGCAUGUGCUUAGCAUGCACAAGGUCCUGGGUUCAAUCCCCAGUACCUUCA